rnacentral:rRNA from 1 species
CAGCCGCCGCGGGAAUACGGAGGGCGCGAGCGUUACCCGGAUUUACUGGGCGUAAAGGGCGUGUAGGCGGCCUGGGGCGUCCCAUGUGAAAGGCCACGGCUCAACCGUGGAGGAGCGUGGGAUACGCUCAGGCUAGAGGGUGGGAGAGGGUGGUGGAAUUCCCGGAGUAGCGGUGAAAUGCGCAGAUACCGGGAGGAACGCCGAUGGCGAAGGCAGCCACCUGGUCCAUUACUGACGCUGAGGUGCGAAAGCGUGGGGAGCAAACAGGAUUAGAUACCCGCGUAGUCCCUGUCUCUUAUAC